ACACACACACACACACACACACACACACACACACACACACAUUUGCCCAUAUGCGUUGCGCUGUACAGAAUUAUCCAGUCAGCUGUGUCUCCUGGGCUGUUGCAGGUGUUUGGCGGGAAGUUUCUCAGGUCCUGGCUGGGAUUGAGUCGGGGAAAGGGAAUGCCAGUUAGCAAAUGGAAUUCUAAGGUCAUAAUCCACACACCUGAACAGACAUCCGUCUUUCCUUUCGUUCGGGAAACAUUUGACCCCAUGAUGAGCCAGACCCUGGAUAACUGAGACACAUCAACUCUCUUUUCAGGUUUGAAAUGCACAAUGAAGAGAAAUAAAAGCAGAAAGAUCUCCAGAAAGAAUCCAUGAUGAGAUUAAAGGUUUCACAGUCCAAGCUAAUGUCCAUGGAUACUUUCAUUGACCCAAGAACAUCGCAUUCCUGGCAAAAGAAGUGUGGCAACACUAAGGCAAGUAUCUGCUUGAACAGAAAGAUGAUACAGAAAUACAGGAUGCAGGAGGAAGGAUUAGGAAGGACCCAACAAACUUGAACCAGGCUGGAAAAACUGGAAAGAUUCUAACUUUGGCCACCUGGAAGAAAUCCCUCGUAAGCUUCAUUGGGAAAUGCUUGGCCCUGGUGGGAAAGAGGGUGAAGCAUAGAGGACUACUGGAUUAGAUGGAGAGAGUGCCUAGGCAUCUCCAUGGCCCCACUGAUGUUCAAAAAUUCCUCAAGACAGUGCUGAGCUACACAUGUGCACCUGGAAGAGGAAACACACUUGGACACUGAACUGCCAUGGGAGAGCAGCCUUACCAGGCCACAGAAGAGGACGAUGCAGCCACUUUUGAUGAGAACUGAUAGACUAAGAUCAGAAAGAAGAGGAGAACCUCCCCUAUCAGCGGACUUGGGGAGAAGCAUGCAUGCAGAAAGAGGAGGGUG